rnacentral:tRNA from 5 species
UGCGGGGUGGAGCAGUCUGGUAGCUCGACGGGCUCAUAACCCGUAGGUCGCGGGUUCAAAUCCUGCCCCCGCUACCA